CAUAUCAAUAAGCGGAGGAAAAGAAACCAACAGGGAUUGCCUCAGUAACGGCGAGUGAAGCGGCAAAAGCUCAAAUUUGAAACCCUCGGGAUUGUAAUUUGAAGACUCGGCAUUGGGAAAAGCUAACCCAAGUUGCUUGGAAUAGUGCGUCACAGAGGGUGAGAACCCCGUAUGGCUAACCGUUUCCCAUGUAUUGCCGGGUCAAAGAGUCGAGUUGUUUGGGAAUGCAGCUCCGAGUGGGUGGUAAACUCCAUCUAAAGCUAAAUACCGGCGAGAGACCGAUAGCGAACAAGUACUGUGAAGGAAAGAUGAAAAGAACUUUGAAAAGAGAGUGAAAUAGUAUGUGAAAUUGUUGAUAGGGAAGGGAAUGGGGGUAGAGUGGAGGGGGUUUCACGCGUCCCUCGGGGCGCGGUACUGCCGAAUCCGAGUCAGGCGGUGGGAGUGAGGAGCGAUAAACGGGUUACUUUGGUAUCCAACAAAUCUCCUUGCCUCCAUCGCCCGACAUAAUACCCCUACUCCACCCGUCUUGAAACACGGACCAAGGAGUCUAAUGGAUUUGUGAGUGUUUGAGUGAAAACUCCCACGCGAAAUGAAAGUAAAUGAUUCGCUCAGAAUCAACCGGUCACCAGACUGAGUAAACAAACCCAUUGGGACCCGAAAGAUGGUGAACUAUGCCUGAAUAGGGUAAAGUCAGAGGAAACUCUGAUGGAGGCUCGUAGCGGUUCUGACGUGCAAAUCGAUCGUAGAAUUUGGGUAUAGGGGCGAAAGACUAAUCGAACCAUCUAGUAGCUGGUUCCUGC
rnacentral:rRNA from 1 species